rnacentral:rRNA from 1 species
AACAAACGCUGGCGGCAUGCCUAACACAUGCAAGUCGAACGAGACCUUCGGGUCUAGUGGCGCACGGGUGCGUAACGCGUGGGAACCUGCCCUUAGGUUCGGAAUAACUCCCCGAAAGGGGUGCUAAUACCGGAUAAUGUCUUCGGACCAAAGAUUUAUCGCCUUUGGAUGGGCCCGCGUUAGAUUAGCUAGUUGGUAGGGUAAAAGCCUACCAAGGCGACGAUCCAUAGCUGGUCUGAGAGGAUGAUCAGCCACACUGGGACUGAGACACGGCCCAGACUCCUACGGGAGGCAGCAGUGGGGAAUAUUGGACAAUGGGCGAAAGCCUGAUCCAGCAAUGCCGCGUGAGUGAUGAAGGCCUUAGGGUUGUAAAGCUCUUUUACCCGGGAUGAUAAUGACAGUACCGGGAGAAUAAGCUCCGGCUAACUCCGUG